rnacentral:ncRNA from 1 species
GGUCAUAAAAGCUAAACCUCUCGCAAGAGGGGGGCAGAAAGUUGCGGGUCUUCAAGCAGACUGUCGGACUUCACAU